AAAGUUGACCUCGGAUCAGGUAGGAAUACCCGCUGAACUUAAGCAUAUCAAU
rnacentral:rRNA from 1 species